UACGAAGGGGGCUAGCGUUGCUCGGAAUCACUGGGCGUAAAGCGCACGUAGGCGGCUUUUUAAGUCAGGGGUGAAAUCCUGGAGCUCAACUCCAGAACUGCCUUUGAUACUGAGAAGCUUGAGUCCGGGAGAGGUGAGUGGAACUGCGAGUGUAGAGGUGAAAUUCGUAGAUAUUCGCAAGAACACCAGUGGCGAAGGCGGCUCACUGGCCCGGUACUGACGCUGAGGUGCGAAAGCGUGGGAGCAAACAGG
rnacentral:rRNA from 1 species